GAUGAAGAACGUAGCGAAAUGCGAUACUUGGUGUGAAUUGCAGAAUCCCGUGAACCAUCGAGUCUUUGAACGCAAGUUGCGCCCGAAGCCAUUAGGCCGAGGGCACGCCUGCCUGGGCGUCACACGUCGUUGCCCCCCCAUCUACUCCUUCGGGAUUGCGGGGGGCGGAUGAUGGCCUCCCGUGCGCCUCGCCGCGCGGUUGGCAUAAAUGCCAAGUCCUCGGCGACGCACGCCACGACAAUCGGUGGUUGCGAAACCUCGGUUGCCCGUCGUGUGCGGUCGUCGCGCAUCGAGGGCUCGAAAAUAUUGCCGGGUUCCGGCUCGGCUUUCAACGCGACCCCAGGUCAGGCGGGGUUACCCGCUGAAUUUAAGCAUAUCAAUAAGCGGAGGA
rnacentral:misc_RNA from 1 species